rnacentral:rRNA from 1 species
CGUAGGUGGCAAGCGUUGUCCGGAAUUAUUGGGCGUAAAGCGUGCGCAGGCGGUUUUGUAAGACAGGCGUGAAAUCCCCGGGCUCAACCUGGGAACUGCGCUUGUGACUGCAAGGCUAGAGUACGGCAGAGGGGGUGGAAUUCCACGUGUAGCAGUGAAAUGCGUAGAGAUGUGGAGGAACACCAAUGGCGAAGGCAGCCCCCUGGGUCGAUACUGACGCUCAUGCACGAAAGCGUGGGUAGCAAACAGGAUUAGAUACCCUGGUAGUCCACGCCCUAAACGAUGUCAACUAGGUGUUGGGUGGGUAAAACCAUUUAGUACCGGAGCUAACGCGUGAAGUUGACCGCCUGGGGAGUACGGCCGCAAGGUUA